GACGAACGCUGGCGGCGUGCUUAACACAUGCAAGUCGAACGGUGAAGCGAGUGCUUGCACUCGUGGAUCAGUGGCGAACGGGUGAGUAACACGUGAGUAACCUGCCCAUCACUCUGGGAUAAGCACUGGAAACGGUGUCUAAUACUGGAUACGACCAACCCUUGCAUGGGGUGUUGGUGGAAAGAUUUAUCGGUGAUGGAUGGACUCGCGGCCUAUCAGCUUGUUGGCGGGGUAACGGCCCACCAAGGCGACGACGGGUAGCCGGCCUGAGAGGGUGACCGGCCACACUGGGACUGAGACACGGCCCAGACUCCUACGGGAGGCAGCAGUGGGGAAUAUUGCACAAUGGGCGAAAGCCUGAUGCAGCGACGCCGCGUGAGGGAUGACGGCCUUCGGGUUGUAAACCUCUUUCAGCAGGGAAGAAGCGAAAGUGACGGUACCUGCAGAAGAAGCACCGGCUAACUACGUG
rnacentral:rRNA from 1 species